AGGUGCUAAGAACGCUCAAGCCAUGGAGAGAGAUGCAUUUGGAGUUGUUUACAUUCAGACAAAGCUCAUCUGGUUGUUUGCAGCUAGUCACAAGGAUCCAGAGCCGAGAACACUGGUAUGAUGCAAGGAUUUGUGGCCAGCCAAUUCAAGCUUGAAAACUUAUCUCUAUCACUAACAUGACAUUAUAUUCCUGAUAUUUUUACUUCUCUUAGCCUCUGUUUAUUUGUCUGUAAAACUGGAGUGUGAUUCAAGAAGGGUGUAAGAACAUUUAAUGGGGAUAAUAGUCUUUUCAAUUAAUAGUUAUAGAACCACUGGAUAUCCACUGCAAAAGAAUUAAAUCAGACCCCUGCUUCAUACCAUAUGCAAAAAUUAAUUCAAAGCAUUCAUAGAUUUAAAUGUAAGAACUAACACUAUAAUACUCUUAGAAGAAAACAUAGGGGUGAAUCAUAGUGACCUUAGAUAAAGUAAUGAUUUCUUAGAUACAAUAGCAAAUGCACAAGCAACAAAUAAAGACAUAUAUUGAACUUCAUUAUAAUGAAAAAAUGCAUGUUUCAAGGAUGUCAUCAGUAAAGUGAAAAGAUGACCCACAAAUAGGGAGGAAAUGUUUUCAAAUUAUAUAACUGAUGAGGAACUUGUAUCCAGAAUAUAUAACGAACAUUUACAACUCAACAAUAAAGAGACUAUUUAAUUUUUUAAAUGGCCAAAAAACUUAAAUAGAUUUUCCUCCAAAGAAGGUAUACAAAUGGCCAAUAAGCAUAUGAAAAUGUGUUCCUUUGUGAAAUGCAAAUCAAAACAACAAUGAGCUAUUGUUCAUACCUAGUAGGAUGGAUAUACUAGAAAAGACAGAGAAUAACAAAUGUUGAUGAGGUUGUGGAUAAAUUGAAACUCUUAUGCACUGCUGAUGAGAAUAUGAAUUCAUGCUGCCCCUAUGAAAAACACUUCAAAAGGUGCUCAAUAUUUAAACAGAGUUACCAUAUCACUGAGUAAUUCUACUCCUAGGUAUACACCAAGAAAAUUGAAGAUUUAUGUUCAUGUAAAAACUUGUGCACAAAUACUCAUAUCAGCAUCAUAAAUAAUAGUUAACAAGUGGAAACGGCCCAGAUCUCCAUCACUGAUAAAUGGAUAACAAAUUAUUUUAUAUUCAUACAAUGGAAUAUUAUUUAGCCAUAAAUGUAUCAGGAAUUAAGUACUGAUGCAUUCUACAACAUGGAUAAACCUUGUAAACAUUAUGCUAAGUAAAAGAAGCCAAACACAGAAGAAUAAAUAUUGUAUAAAUCAAUUUAUAUGAAAUGUCCAAAAAGUAGAUUAAUUGUUACCAGGGCCUGGGGCAAGGCAGAUGUGGGAAAUGAAUGCUAAGUGUGGAUGAUGCCACCUUUCUAAUAUUAGGUGGGGGAGAUGGCUGCACAAUCCUGUGACUAUACAAAAAAAAUGCUGAAUUGUAUACUUUAAAGAAUGUAAUCCCAGCACUUUGGGAGGCCGAGGCGGGUGGAUCAUGAGGUCAGGAGAUCGAGACCAUCCUGGCUAACAAGGUGAAACCCCGUCUCUACUAAAAAUACAAAAAAAUUAGCCGGGCGCGGUGGCGGGCGCCUGUAGUCCCAGCUACUCGGGAGGCUGAGGCAGGAGAAUGGCGUGAACCCGGGAAGCGGAGCUUGCAGUGAGCCGAGAUUGCGCCACUGCAGUCCGCAGU
ensembl:lncRNA LINC02267 long intergenic non-protein coding RNA 2267